UACGUAGGUGGCAAGCGUUGUCCGGAAUUAUUGGGCGUAAAGCGCGCGCAGGCGGUCCUUUAAGUCUGAUGUGAAAGCCCACGGCUCAACCGUGGAGGGUCAUUGGAAACUGGGGGACUUGAGUGCAGGAGAGAAGAGUGGAAUUCCACGUGUAGCGGUGAAAUGCGUAGAGAUGUGGAGGAACACCAGUGGCGAAGGCGACUCUUUGGCCUGUGACUGACGCUGAGGCGCGAAAGCGUGGGGAGCAAACAGG
rnacentral:rRNA from 1 species